UACAGGGGGUGCAAACGUUGCUCGGAAUCAUUGGGCGUAAAGCGCACGUAGGCGGUCUGUUAUGUCGGAUGUGAAAUCCCCGGGCUCAACCUGGGAACUGCAUCCGAAACUGCCUUGCUAGAGUAUGGGAGAGGGAAGUGGAAUUUCCGGUGUAGCGGUGAAAUGCGUAGAUAUCGGAAGGAACAUCAGUGGCGAAGGCGACUUCCUGGACCAAUACUGACGCUCAGGUGCGAAAGCGUGGGGAGCAAACAGG
rnacentral:rRNA from 1 species